ensembl:lncRNA
UGCCACCCAGAGCAGGGACACGCCUCCUGGAAAGUGGUUACACAGCUCGGGCCACUCUUCUGAGGAUGUUGCAGGAAAGAGUGAGUCUGGGGUAAAUUAAAGACAGCCCACAGGCCUUGUACUCGACCACCAGACAGAAACAUAUCUACAGAAAUGACAGCCACGUACCCAAAGGAACCACAUCCACAGCAACAAAGGACACAUGGACUCCCCGGCUGGCUCCCCGGGUGCCCUUUAUAAAGUGCCAUUCACUCAGUGCACAGACACAUGAUUUUUUAAAAGGUAUUUCUUUUAAACUUCACGUUGAAACAAUUAGAUGAUUCUUAGGAUGCAAAUGCAGCUAAUUAAUUAACGCUUUCUGGCAAUGUGAAAUCUCACUGAGUUAUGAUCGAGGUGUAAACAGGGCUAUUUGCCUCCCAGAAGCUUGGAGUCGAGUGGGGUCCCCAUUGUUUUGCUGAAUAAAAGUUCUAGAGACCAUGCGUGUUCCUAGACUUCUGGUUCCCUU